GAUGCUGUAGAUUAGAUGUAGAGUGAUAUAAGUGUAAAU
rnacentral:guide_RNA from 1 species